rnacentral:lncRNA from 1 species
CUCCAUCCCUUUUCUCCAAACGUUUCAAAUAUCCCAAGCCUCUUUACCUCGAAUCACUUGACUUACCAUCAACAAUUCUAGGUCUCGUAGGCAAGUCGGAUAGGAUCAAAAAUGAAUUGUUAUCCGAGAUUGUAGUCCUAUGAAUAACGAUCACUAGAUGUUUCCUUAUUGACCACUCGACUGUCAAGAUUAAAAGUUC